rnacentral:rRNA from 1 species
GACGAACGCUGGCGGCGUGCCUAAUACAUGCAAGUAGAACGCUGAAGGAGGAGCUUGCUUCUCUGGAUGAGUUGCGAACGGGUGAGUAACGCGUAGGUAACCUGCCUGGUAGUGGGGGAUAACUAUUGGAAACGAUAGCUAAUACCGCAUAAUAGCAGUUGUUGCAUGAUAACUGUUUGAAAGGUGCAAUUGCACCGCUACCAGAUGGACCUGCGUUGUAUUAGCUAGUUGGCGGGGUAACGGCUCACCAAGGCGACGAUACAUAGCCGACCUGAGAGGGUGAUCGGCCACACUGGGACUGAGACACGGCCCAGACUCCUACGGGAGGCAGCAGUAGGGAAUCUUCGGCAAUGGACGGAAGUCUGACCGAGCAACGCCGCGUGAGUGAAGAAGGGUUUCGGAUCGUAAAGCUCUGUUGUAAGAGAAGAACGAGUGUGAGAGUGGAAAGUUCACACUGUGACGGUAUCUUACCAGAAAGGGACGGCUAACUACGUG